UUCAUUGGCGGUACCAACCCGAAUGUGCCCGAUCUCAUCUGAUCUCGGAAGCUAAAUAGCAUUGGGGGUAGUUGGAUGGGAGAAAUACACCUUUUGUGGAAAAGAAA
rnacentral:rRNA from 1 species